UACGUAGGGUGCGAGCGUUGCCCGGAUUUAUUGGGCGUAAAGGGCGCGUAGGCGGCUCUGCACGUCCGUUGUGAAAUCGCCCGGCUCAACUGGGCGGGGUCAGCGGAUACGGCAGAGCUCGAGCAAGCUAGGGGGCAAUGGAAUUCCCGGUGUAGUGGUGGAAUGCGCAGAUAUCAGGAGGAACACCAAUAGCGAAGGCAGCUCGCUGGGACGUGACUGACGCUGAGACGCGAAAGCGUGGGGAGCAAGCAGG
rnacentral:rRNA from 1 species